UACGAAGGGGGCGAGCGUUGUUCGGAAUUACUGGGCGUAAAGGGCGCGUAGGCGGCGAACCAAGUCAGAUGUGAAAGUCCUGGGCUUAACCUGGGGACUGCAUUUGAUACUGGUUUGCUUGAAUUCGGGAGAGGAUAGCGGAAUUCCCAGUGUAGAGGUGAAAUUCGUAGAUAUUGGGAAGAACACCGGUGGCGAAGGCGGCUAUCUGGACCGACAUUGACGCUGAGGCGCGAAAGCGUGGGGAGCAAACAGGAUUAAGAAACCCU
rnacentral:rRNA from 1 species